rnacentral:lncRNA from 1 species
AGUCUAAUUCUCUCAGGUUAAGGGAUACUUCUUCCUCCUGUAGGAAAACCAGUGUCACCUCUAUUUGCACAUUCACUUCAAUAUUCCUGAUCUAUAAAUGUGUCUGUUCUGUUUGGAUUCUACUUUCAACCGGUUAUAAAACUUCACCGAUUUCCUCAUUGAGCACUCGUUCUUGGUGCCCAGAGCCACCUUGUUAAGAACCUACCUACCCUGCUGGACGUCUCUUAUGGAGAAGCCCUGAGACUUCAUGGAGAGAAGGGAGGGUUCUAGCUGAGAACCAUCUCUAGAGCCAUCUUCUCCAAGGUGAUGAUCAAGACUUCAGCCAUAGCUGCCUUGGAGAUAUCUAUUAUUGUCCCAAAGGAGGCUGAGCAUGACUGUACUACCAGACCAUCACAGACAAACUGCAGAAAAGGCAUAUAUAUGCUCAAAGUCUUAAUCACCGUCAGCAAGUUUUCCUGAGAAAUAUGACCGUUUUCAAAUUUCACAGAGCUGAAAGAAUGGUUGAGGGUAUCACAGACUUACAGAUUUUUGAAUUGGAAAGAUAAAUUCCCUGCUUUCAGUGCACCUUUAUGAACUUCUGUGGUACUUGACUAUGACAGAAACUAGAAAUGAGAUGAAGGAGAUGCAGCAUGGAGAAGUUAAGUGACUUGUCUAUGGUCCCAUAAAACAUUUAGCGAUGUUUAUCACUAUGUCAUCAGCCAUGUGCCAGGUAAUGUGCUACAACCUGGGAUACAGUGGCAAGCAAAUUGAUACAGCUUUUGUUUUAUGAACUUGCAAUAUAGUUAUAUAGAGUAAUCAAAUUAUUACACUUGUAGAGAUGUAAUUCAAUCUCUGAUAGGAGCUAUGAGAAAUUUAUGUGUGCCAUGAGAAUAGAAAUUGAGGUGACUGGUAUGGUCUGAGGGGUCAGAUGGAGUUUAUCUGAGGAAUUAUAUUUGAGAUCAAAGAUACUAAGAUGUUAACUUAAAAUAGUGGGGAAGAUGCUACAGAAUAGUGAUUUAGAUGUCAUAAAGUUCUUAUUGUAGGGAUAAAAGCAUAGAAAAUGCACACGUAAAUACCAUGAAGUUACUGCGGUUGAACAGAGAAAAUGUAGAUGAGCUUGGUGCAAAGAUGAUACUACAAAUGUAGGCACAAAGGAACUCAAGAAUUGUCUGGAGGCUGUACUAAUAAAGUUUAAAAUUAUGUUAGAGCAAUGAAAAUCAUUCAAAGGUUUUAAGUAUGGCAGGGUCUGGGAUAGGAUGGAGGCAUUAAAGACAUGGUUUCUUCUUUUAAAGGUGUAUCUUGCAGAAGUGUGGAGAAUAGAUAGAAAGGGAGCAGAGCAGAGAGCAGUAGGCCAUUUUGGAGGCCAUUGUAGUAGAUUUGACAAGAGAUAGUAUUGGCUUGGACAAGGUGAUCAAGGGUGAUGACAAUGGAGAUGCUGAGAAGCAAAUGGACAAGUAAGUAAAAUGAAUAGAACUUGAUGACUAAUGGACUAUGGACGUGACUAAAAGAGAUAAGGAUUAUUUUCCACUGUAGGUUACUAGAGUAUAUUGAAUUUCUUUCCUGGGUUAUGCAGUAAAUCUCUGUUGCUUAUUUAUUUCAUAUAGUGUGUCUAUGCUAAUCUCAAUUCCCAAUUUAUCCUCUUCCACUUCUCAUUUGGUAGCCAGCCAUAAGUUUGUUUUCUAUGUCUGUGAGUCUGUUUCUGUUUUGUAAUAGAUUCAUUUGUAUUAUUUUUUAGAUUCCACAUAUAAGUUAUUCAUACAGUAUUAUCUUUGACUGGCUUUCUUAGUAUGAUAUUCCAUAGGUUAUCCAUGUUGCUGUAAAUGACAGUAUUUCCUUCUUUGUUAUGAUGAGUAUUAUUCUAUUGAGUAUGUAUACUCAUUGUUAUCCAUUAAUCUGUUGAUGGACACAUAGGUUGCCUCUAUUCAUAGCAACACUUCAUAGUGCUGCUGCAACAUUGAGCUAUAUGUAUAUUUUCCAAUUAGAGUUUUCAUCUUUUCUGGAUAUAUGCCCAGGAGUGGGAUGGCUAGAUCAUAUUAGCUCUAUUUUUAGUUUUUAAAGUAAUUAUACUGUUUCCAUAGUGGUUCCACCAAUUUACAUUCCCACCAACAGUGUCAGAGUGUUCCUUCUUCUCCACAUGCUCUCAGCAUUAUUGUAGACAUUUCGAUGGUAGCCAUUCUGAUCAGUGUCAGGUGAUAUAUCAUUGUGGUUUGACUUUCAAUUUGUCUAAUGAUUAAGUGUUGAAAAUCCUUCAAUGUGCCUUCUGGCAAUCUGUAUGUUUUAUUUGGAGAAAUGCCUAUUUUUGUCUUCUGCCCAUUUUUUGAUCAGAUUUUUUUUUGAUGUUGAGUUGGAUGAGCUAUUUGUAUAUUUUUAAAUUAACCCUUAUCCCCUGUCAGUGUCAUUGUUUGCAAAUAUUUCUUCUUCUUGUAGGUUGUCUUUUGUUUGGUUGAUGAUUUCCUUUGCUAUGAAUAAAAGCUUUUAAGUUUGAUUAGGUCCCAUUGUUUAUUUGGUGCUUUUAUUUAUUUUGCCUUGGGAAACUGAUCUAAGACAUAUUGCUACAAUUUAUGUCAGAGAAUGUUCUCCCAUGUUCUCUUCUAGGACUUAUUAUUGUGUCAUGUUAAAGCCUUUGGCAAUAUUUAAGCCUUUAGGCAAUUUUGCAUUUUUUUUGUAUAUGAUAGAGAGUGUUCUAAUUUCAUUGAUUACAUGCAGCUGUCCAGCUUUUCCAUUUGCUGAAGAGACUGUCUUUUAUCCAUUGCAUAUUCUUAACCUUUUUGUCAAGAUUAAUUGACUGUAAGCAUAUGAGUUUAUUUCUGGUUCUCUAUUCUGUUCAUUGAUCUGUAUGUCUGUUUUUGUGCCAAUACCACAUUAUCUUGAUUACUGUAGCUUGAUUACUAUAGCUUUCCUAGCUCAUGUCUAGGAAGUUUAUGCCUCCUGCUUUGGUCUUUGUCUUCAGGAUUGCUUGGCAUUCUGGAUCUGUGGUUCAUAUAAACUUUAGGAUUAUUUUGUUCUAGUUCUGUGAAAAUGUCAUGGGUAAUUUGAUAGGAGUCACAUUAAAUAUGUAAUUACUUUGUGUGGUAUACCCAUUUUAAACAAUAUUAUUUCUUCUAAAUCUAAGAUCAUGGAUAUCUUUCCAUUUCUUUGAAUAAUCUUCAGUUUCCUUUAUCAAAGUUUUAUAGUUUCUCAGCAUGUAAAUAUUUCACCUCCCUUGGUUAGGUUUUAUUUCGAGGUAUUUUAUAUUUUUGACAUUAUUUUAGAUGAGAUUUGUUUUUUACUUUCCCUUCCUAUUUCAUUGUUAGUGUAAAGAAAUAUAACAGAUUGCUGUGUUCUUAAUCUUAUAUCCAGUACCUUGCUGAAUUCAUUUAUUAUUCUAAUAGAUUUUUAUGGAGUGUUUAGGGUUUUCUAUAUAAGUAUCAUAUCAUCUGCAUAAAAUGACAAUUUUACAUCUUCCCUUCCAAUUUGGAUAACUUUUAUUUCUUUUUCCUUGUCUGAUUCCUAUAGCUAGGACUUCAAUACUGUCUUGAAUAGAAAUGAUGAGAGUGGGCAUCCUUGUCUUGUUCCAAAUUUUCAUGGGAAGUCUUUCAGUUUUUCACCAUUGAAUAUGAUGCUGACUGAGAACAUUUUUUUAGUUGUCCUUACUGGUGACUUGGGUUGAGGAUGUGUUCUGUGAGUGGAAGAAGUUGCCAAAUGGCCCACCCUAUGCUUGAGACUUUCUCUAUAACUUUUCUUUUGUUUUCUGUCUUUCUUUUGGCAAAUUAUGAUGUUCUUACUCUAACUUCCAGUGUUUUAUCAAAUGAUACUGUAAAAAUGCAGUAUGUGUUGUAUUUAUGGUCAUAUUAGUAUUUAACUGUGUAAUUAAAUUAAAGAAAUUUCUAGUUAUGUAAUUUUUAACAGAAAAAUGUGACUAUUAUUAUUUUUUUCUGAUCAGGAAAACAUACCUUGAUAAUUAAUGUACUCUCUACUUGCAAUUGAUCUGAAUGACUUUGGUCUAAUAGUUGAGUUGCCGUUGUGGCUCAGUGGAAACAAAUCUGACUAGUAUCCAUGAGGUUGCAGGUUUGAUCCCUGCCCCGUUCAGUGGGUUAAGGAUCUGGCAUUACCGUGAGCUGUGAUGUGGGUUGCAGAUGCAGCUCGGAUCUGGAGAUGCUGUGGCUGUGGUGUAGGCUGGCGGCUACAGGUCCAACCCCUAGCCUGGGAACAUCCAUAUGCUAUGGGUGCAGC